rnacentral:rRNA from 1 species
UACGUAGGGUGCGAGCGUUGUCCGGAAUUACUGGGCGUAAAGAGCUCGUAGGUGGUUUGUCGCGUUGUCCGUGAAAACUCACAACUCAAUUGUGGGCGUGCGGGCGAUACGGGCAGACUGGAGUACUGCAGGGGAGACUGGAAUUCCUGGUGUAGCGGUGGAAUGCGCAGAUAUCAGGAAGAACACCCGUGGCGAAGGCGGCUCUCUGGGACGGUACUGACGCUGAGACGCGAAAGCGUGAGGAGCGAACAGG